rnacentral:rRNA from 1 species
AGAGCGACGGGCGAUGUGUACAUAUCUUAGAACCAGGUAUCAUGAUAACAAUCUACAAAACAUUACAAUCAAAUCCAAUUUCAUAUCAAUAAUCUCAACCAACAAUCCAAACAAACAAAGAUCAAUGUAAUCCAUCAAUAACACUUGGAAACAAGCUGCACCUUGACCUGAAAUAAAUCAAAAUAAAGGAACCAGAAAAUUAAAACCCCUAAAAGCAUAAUCAAAUAAACGGCGGUAUACAAACCAUAGCAACCAAGUAAGGUCCAACGCGGACUAUCGAUAACGAGACAGAUUCCUCUGAACGGAAUAAGAUACCGCCAAAUUCUUUAAGUUUCAAGAACAUAACUAAUACUACUCCAGCACAAAAAUUAACAUCCUCAAAUAA